ensembl:lncRNA SLC12A2-DT SLC12A2 divergent transcript
GUGCAAAGUUGGAACAUGUUUGGGAGUUCAACGGCAUUGGUUUCUGGUGCAAGCGGUCUUCUCUGUCUUCUUUAUGGCCAGUAAAAUUCUCCAGAAGAGAUUUAUGGCAGCCUCACUCCCAGUAGUUUCUGCAUUUAGUGAGAUAAGCCACAGCAAUUGUCUGCUAUUUUAAAAGCACUGUGAUGCUUAAAUAUUCCAGCUGCUACAUCGGACAGGUGUCUGAUGAUCCUGAGAACAGUCAUCAAAAAGUAGAACUUGAGCCUGGAAUACAUUCUCUGGCAUAGCCAUAGUCAAUCACCAGUAUAAUUAAUGUAAAUGGACACUGGAUAGCUUUUUUGUGAAUUCUGAUGCAGCACAAAGAGACUUUAAUUGUUUCCAAAAAGAAAAUGUCUGAGAUUAAAAUCUAGAGUUUUAUGACUUAGAGGAAAUUUUAUAGCUUUACUCCAAAAAGGGUAAGGCACAAAAUAUUCUGUGCCAAAGGAUGCAUAUUUGGUAUUUUUCCUAUGAAUCCCUUAGUGUAAGUGGCAUGAUGAAAUUUUCUUGGUUUCAACACAGAUGAUGUGUUGAGGUAGUGUUGAGGCUGAGAGGUGGGUGGGAUGGGUCUUGGAGAAGGAAAAGAUUUGUUUUGCAAGGUUUGUGGAGAGCUGAUGCGGUAGUGAGGCUAAGACGAGGGGUAUUUACUUGCUACUUACAUUGAGUCCACUAACAUCUGCAGCACUUUGCUUGCAUUAUCCACGCAAUUAUCACGGGAAACCUAUAAAAUAAGUAUUCCUCUCCUCAUUUUACAAAUAGGGAAGCAGAUAAGAUUUAGAAAAUUUCCCAAACUCACACAAUUAUUAAAUGACAGAACUAGGACUCAAACCCAGGUUUUAUUAAUUUUAGAGACAUGUUUUUAACCACUUGGACACUGCCAACCAUGGAAUUGUUGGUAUGAAAAAAACGUACUCUUGAGUUAUAUUAUCCAUGGUCUUAAUAUCAGAGAAGUGCAGUUGAGUCGCUAUUAAAGAAUAUGGUAAAAUUAUAAAAUGGAUACUAUACAAAGGUAUAAAAAUAUUAUAAAUACUUAUGUUUGGGGUAAAAGGAUCAAAGUAGCCAUGCUCAGUGGAAGGGUAAGGAACUCUUAGCAGAGAUUGAUUAAUUGGGAGAUAAUUGAUUAAUUGGGAGUUGAUUGAUUAAUUGGGAUUUAUUAAUUUGGGAGUAGGUAGGAAGAUAGGAAGUUGUAUAAAAUAAGGGAGAGAUAACUUAGUACCUGGAAAAAAAGAAAUGGAAAUAGGUAGAAGCUAAGAGUUCAAUUAAAAAAAAGGAAUAAAAGAUAUUGGAAGGGAACGAUGAAUGUAGCAUGGAAGAUCCAAGAUGAUGGGAGUUCAGGGGCUAAUUACAGCUAUGGGGAAAAAGUAAUGUAUAAGCUGGAAGCCAGAGAUAAGAGCCAUGUAAAUGAAGAAGUUGGGCCCCAAUAGGAAAGAAUUAUAAGGACUAGAAGGAGCAGGAGCCAUGUGGAAAAAUAUCAUGUAGUACUUUUAAGCUUGAUCUGUCAUCUGUAGCAAAACCAGCAUGCUUGAGUACUGAAUUGACCUGACUGAACUAUGUUGAAAUGUACUGUGGUUUUAUAUCCAUAUGCACUUGGUCUGUGGAGUUGUGGGAAAAGCAUCAGUGAGUAGGAAGCCCAAGGAUUUGGGUCAAGUAUUAAAUAUGCUAUUUACUGUCUAGCUAUGUGACCUUAUAUAAGUCACUUGUGGUCUCUGAGCCUUCAUGUAUUCAUCCAUAAGAUGAGUUGUUGUUUAUAUUAAAUGGGAUGUGGUAUGUUAAAGAGCUGAAUGCAUAGUGAUACAGAAUUACUUUCUGUAAUACUAUUUUUUAAAUAUUUUAAAUGAAAAAUUAAUGAACUUAUAAAUUAAAAGAUUCAAAAGGGAUAAAAAGGUAUACAAUGAAAAGCAAUUCUCCUUCCCACCAGUAACUCUGUCCUACUCCUUAGGACAUUCACCAUAAACAGAUAUCCUGAAUUCUUCUAGAAAUAUUAUAUAUAAAAUCUUAUAUUUCUUAUGUUUCUUUUUUACUAUUUUAAAGGGGAUAAACUAAACUUUGCUUUUUUUCAUAUAAUAAUAUAUUCUGGAGAUCAUUUUCUAAAAGCACAUGUAAACAUACCUCAUUAUUAUAAAGGUUUGAAAAUAUCAAUUUAUUUGACCUGUCCCCUCUCGAUAGAUAAUUAGAUUGUAUCCAUCCCUUUGGUUAUUACCAACAGACACUAAUCACUUAUCAUGUACAUAUAGCCUGUUUUUUAGCAUUGUUAGACAAAGUAGGCAUAUUCCUUUCCAUCCAAGAACUCAUAACCUAGUAAUUGUAGUUGGCUGAUAGCUCAUUGCCCAUACACAAGGAUCUAACACAACCUCUUGAAUAAACAUCCCCCUUAUUCAGAAAUGCCUUUUCCUAUUUCCAUAUUGCAACUUUGCUUACAAAUUUCCAAUCUGUCUUUCUGUUUACAGAAGAUAUACAAAAUUCCUUUUGUAUGAUCUCUUUAUAUCUCUUGAUUUUCUUUUGUGUUUGCUACCAAAGGGCCUGCACAUAGUGAGAAGAUUGUGCAUGAUCUGUGAGCUCUACCACACCUGGAAUUAGGGAUCACCAAUAUGAGAAAAAAAAUUGGAGGUACAAAUAACAUUAUCAUAUGUAAUUGGCAUAUAAAUUACAGAUGUAUCUAUGACUAAAAACCCUGUGGAUAUAAACCAAAUGCAGAUAAAUAUAAUAAAAUAUAUAAAAAUAUAAUCAAAUAAUGAUAGUGCUAUUCAAAUACUUCAAAUUUGCACAGUGAUUUAUUUCUUAAAAUAUGUUAACACAUGUGAGCCAAUACACUGAGGUCACUGGAU